GAUGAGCGCUGGCGGCGUGCCUAAUACAUGCAAGUCGAGCGAACGGACGAGAAGCUUGCUUCUCUGCUGUUAGCGGCGGACGGGUGAGUAACACGUGGAUAACCUACCUAUUAGACUGGGAUAACUUCGGGAAACCGGAGCUAAUACCGGAUAAUAUUUUGAACCGCAUGGUUCAAAAGUGAAAGACGGUCUUGCUGUCACUUAUAGAUGGAUCCGCGCUGCAUUAGCUAGUUGGUAAGGUAACGGCUUACCAAGGCAACGAUGCAUAGCCGACCUGAGAGGGUGAUCGGCCACACUGGAACUGAGACACGGUCCAGACACCUACGGGAGGCAGCAGUAGGGAAUCUUCCGCAAUGGGCGAAAGCCUGACAGAGCAACGCCGCGUGAGUGAUGAAGGUCUUCGGAUCGUAAAACUCUGUUAUUAGGGAAGAACAUAUGUGUAAGUAACUGUGCACAUCUUGACGGUACCUAAUCAGAAAGCCACGGCUAACUACGUG
rnacentral:rRNA from 1 species